AGCCAGACUCCUACGGGAGGCAGCAGUGGGGAAUAUUGCACAAUGGGGGGAACCCUGAUGCAGCGACGCCGCGUGAAGGAAGAAGUAUUUCGGUAUGUAAACUUCUCUCAGCAGGGAAGAAAAUGACGGUACCUGACUAAGAAGCCCCGGCUAACUACGUGCCAGCAGCCGCGGUAAUACGGAGGAUGCGAGCGUUAUCCGGAUUUAUUGGGUUUAAAGGGUGCGUAGGCGGGCUGUUAAGUCAGCGGUCAAAUGUCGGGGCUCAACCCCGGCCUGCCGUUGAAACUGGCGGCCUCGAGUGGGCGAGAAGUAUGCGGAAUGCGUGGUGUAGCGGUGAAAUGCAUAGAUAUCACGCAGAACUCCGAUUGCGAAGGCAGCAUACCGGCGCCCGACUGACGCUGAGGCACGAAAGCGUGGGUAUCGAACAGGAUUAGAUACCCGCGUAAU
rnacentral:rRNA from 1 species